CAGGGUAAGGUAGAAGCUUCCUGUUCCUACGAAGGCUGAGCUAAAACUGUGGACGCUAAGGAGUAGUCCCAUGGAGGAGGAGGAGCAUCCUCAGAUGUUAAGCCCAGCCUAACUAGGAAAAGACUGAAGCACCUCCCACUACUGGAUACUCUGAACAGCUCAUGGGAGAAAUAUAAGUAAAAGAAAAAGGAAAUAGCAU